AUCCAGAUGAGGAGGGCCAAAUAGGACGAAACGCGUGUCAAACUGGAU
rnacentral:hammerhead_ribozyme from 1 species